rnacentral:misc_RNA from 1 species
AGCAGCCGCGGUAAUUCCAGCUCCAAUAGCGUAUAUUAAAGUUGUUGCAGUUAAAAAGCUCGUAGUUGAAUUUCGGGAUUGACGUGAUGGUCGUGCCUUACGGGGUAUGAACUGUUGCUGUUGAUUUCUCACCUUCUGGAGAAACUUGAUGUCCUUAAUUGGGUGUCUUGCGGAUCCAGGACCUUUACCUUGAAAAAAUUAGAGUGUUUAAAGCAGGCAUUUUUGCUCGAAUACAUUAGCAUGGAAUAAUAGAAUAGGACGGCAUGGUUCUAUUUUGUUGGUUUCUAGGAUCACCGUAAUGAUUAAUAGGGAUAGUUGGGGGCAUUAGUAUUCAAUUGUCAGAGGUGAAAUUCUUGGAUUUAUUGAAGACUAACUACUGCGAAAGCAUUUGCCAAGGAUGUUUUCAUUAAUCAAGAACGAAAGUUAGGGGAUCGAAGACGAUCAGAUACCGUCGUAGUCUUAACCAUAAACUAUGCCGACCAGGAAUCAGACGAUGUUAAUUUUUUAAUGACUCGUUUGG